rnacentral:rRNA from 1 species
AUUGAACGCUGGCGGCAGGCCUAACACAUGCAAGUCGAACGAGUGGCGGACGGGUGAGUAAUGUCUGGGAAACUGCCCGAUGGAGGGGGAUAACUACUGGAAACGGUAGCUAAUACCGCGUACCAUCGGAUGUGCCCAGAUGGGUGUAGCUUGUAGGUGAGGUAACGGCUCACCUAGGCGACGAUCCCUAGCUGGUCUGAGAGGAUGACCAGCCAAACUGGAAGUGAGACACGGUCAAGACUCUGGAGUGAGGCAGUAGUGGGUGAUAUGUCACAAGGGUAGGAAGCCUGAUGCAGCCAGGCGGCGUGGAUGAAGAAGGCCUUCGGGUUUUACAGUACUGUACGCGGGGAGGCGGUACCCGCAGAAGAAGCACCGGCUAACUCCGGGCCAGCAGCCGCGGUAAUUC